rnacentral:rRNA from 1 species
AUUGAACGCUGGCGGCAGGCCUAACACAUGCAAGUCGAACGAGUGGCGGACGGGUGAGUAAUGUCUGGGAAACUGCCUGCUGGAGGGGGAUAACUACUGGAAACGGUAGCUAAUACCGCAUACCAUACGCUGUGACCAGAUGGGAUUAGCUAGUAGGUGAGGGAAGGGCUAACAUAGGCGACGAUCCCUAGCUGGUCUGAGAGGAUGACCAGCAACACUGGAACUGAGCCACGGUCCAGACUCCUACGGGAGGCAGCAGUGGGGAAUAUUGCACAAUGGGCGCAAGCCUGAUGCAGCCAUGCCGCGUGUAUUAAGAAGGCCUUCGGGUUGUAAAGUACUUUCAGCGGGGAGGCGUUACCCGCAGAAGAAGCACCGGCUAACUCCGUGCCAGCAGCCGCGGUAAUAC